GCCCGCGGGGCCUAAUGGAUAAGGCGUCUGGCUCCUAACCAGAAGAUUGCGAGUUCGAAUCUCGCCGCGGUUAGUA